UCAUGUGUUUAAUUUUUGUUCAUAUAAACAAAAUAUCUGAAAUGGUUGAUUUUUUUUUUAAAAGUUGGACUGAAUGGCCCAAAGGAAAAGGCUGCGGAAAUUGGAUCAAAUUUUCCUACUCAGCCCAAAUGGUCCAAAAGAUUUUCUUACCUCUCAACCAAAUGUAUGGUCAUAGACAAUCGAGGAAAGAAAAAAAAAUCUCUCUCGACGUUUCUUUCUCAAAUGAAUCGAUUUCCAUGGCGAUUCGAAUCUAAAAUAAUAAAAAAAUUCAUGCUGGUAAAGACUGUAACAAUUGCUUGAAGAGGUGAAUACUUAGGGUAGCAAAUUUGAUUUGGAAACAAAGUCAAACAGAUGGUCGGAAACUCGUUAGAUCCACCAAGGACUUCUCAUACUCCAAUCUGUUAAGGAAACGUGGGUUGACACAGAUGACAUGUUCUGAAAGUGGGCCUAUUUUUAAGACAUUCAAACUUUGUAGAAAACCAACGUGUGGCCUUUUAAAGCGUAUUUUGUUAACCGAACAAAAUGAGUUUGCAAUAGCCAAUAGAUUUGGGAUAAAUCAUGUAAUGAAAAAGUACGGUAUUUCCCUUAAUGAAGAUGUCGAUUUAUUUUGAAAA